rnacentral:rRNA from 1 species
GUGCCAGCAGCCGCGGUAAUACGGAAGGUCCGGGCGUUAUCCGGAUUUAUUGGGUUUAAAGGGAGCGCAGGCUGAAGGUUAAGCGUGACGUGAAAUGUAGCCGCUCAACGGCUGCACUGCGUCGCGAACUGGCUUUCUUGAGUGAGUUCGAUGUGGGCGGAAUUCGUGGUGUAGCGGUGAAAUGCUAGAUAUCACGAAGAACUCCGAUUGCGAAGCAGCCCACAAGGCCUUUACUGACGCUAAUGCUCGAAGGUGCGGGUAUCGAACAGGAUUAGAUACCCUGGUAGUCCGCACGGUAAACGAUGGAUGCCCGCUGUUUGCGACAUACUGUGAGCGGCCAAGCGAAAGCGUUAAGCAUCCCACCUGGGGAGUACGCCGGCAACGGUGAAACUCAAAGGAAUUGACGGGGGCCCGCACAAGCGGAGGAACAUGUGGUUUAAUUCGAUGAUACGCGAGGAACCUUACCCGGGCUUGAACUGCAGAGGAAUGCGGUGGAGACGCCAAAGCCCUUCGGGGCCUCUGUGGAGGUGCUGCAUGGUUGUCGUCAGCUCGUGCCGUGAGGUGUCGGCUUAAGUGCCAUAACGAGCGCAACCCCUUUCGCUAGUUGCCAUCAGGUUAUGCUGGGCACUCUGGUGAUACUGCCACCGUAAGGUGUGAGGAAGGUGGGGAUGACGUCAAAUCAGCACGGCCCUUACGUCCGGGGCUACACACGUGUUACAAUGGGGAGUACAGCGAGUCGGCCGCCGGCAACGUCGGUCCAAUCAGGAAAGCUCUCCUCAGUUCGGAUUGGGGUCUGCAACCCGACCCCAUGAAGCUGGAUUCGCUAGUAAUCGCGCAUCAGCCAUGGCGCGGUGAAUACGUUCCCGGGCCUUGUACACACCGCCCGU